ensembl:lncRNA
GGAAUGUGACAGAUUAUGUCACAGGACAACAAGUCAUGCUGACCGUUUCUCAUUGAACAUUUACCCUGAAGGACGUUAAAUACCUUUUAUGUCAGCAAAUUUCCUUAAGGUCAAAUAUAUAUUUACAGAUACAAUUGCGGUGUUUUCCAAAGGAAUGAGAUAUCUGAAAAUGCUUUGUAAAAUGAAUUUUUAAUAUAUGCUAACUUCCUAACAAUUAAAAUCUGGGAUGAUGGCUAAUUUGUACAGUAUGACUAAAUUGUGCCUUGCAUACACAAUGUGAAUCUCCCACAGAGCUUUUCCCAGUGAUAAGAAGUUUGAGUGUGAUUUUUCCCCACUCUUUUCUUCCUUUAAGCACUCUAUUUCUUCUGUGACAUCUUCCCAGUUUCCCCAACUGCAAAUACUUAGUCAUGUUCCAAUUGUUUCUCAUCUGUUCUCCAUAUUCAAUUAGUCACCAAAUUCUUAGUUUUUUUUCAUAUCUUUUCUCAUGUGUGUAUUUUAUUUUUUCCUGGAAUACAUCUGGAGUUCACUCGUUAGUAAUUCUCUGUCCAGUCUUGUGCCUGUUCAGACACACAGAACACAUUGCUACCACAAUAUUUUCCCAAAGUUUAGCUCUUAUAUCAUCCACCAUUUGAGAUGGAAAAACAUGCAGAUUGGAGACUCCAUGGUCUUUGUAUUCUCACUCCCAAUGUGUGCGUGUGAACUAGAAAAACAUCUAAAAUAUCAACAGUAUGAUUUCCCUUGAAUUUAUAUGUGAAAACCUGAAAGGCACAGAGGUUAAGUGAAUUCUCUGAGGUCAUCUGUUGACGAAUGUUAAAGUGGAAUUUGGAAGCAGCUCCCCUAACUUCAAGGUGAUCGUCCUUUCCAUUACUUCAUCUCCAAGUCUGGAGUCUAUAUUACAGCAGGCUUGAGAUAGGAUCAAUGACUUCUCUCAGAAACUGGUGAAGUAGUGAUCAGAAGAAAAAAUAACUAAGGCAAAAAGUCAAAUUGAAUUAUAUCCAUUAUUACUACUUUCACAGAUUAAAAAUUUUCUAAGAUUUUAGCUAGCUUUCAUUUGAUUUAUUCUUUAAUAUGUUGCUAUUAAUGGUAAAAUAACAAUUGUAUAUAUUGUUUAUUUAUGGUGCAUGAAUCUUUUUGUAUAUUUACAUGUGGAAUAAUCAAAUCAUGAAAGUUGAUAAAGGCACUUUAAAUGUUUUUAUAUUUUCAAAAUAUAUUACGAGUAUCCAUAGUUGCAAUGAUGUUCAACAGUAAUAUGGUAUACCUUGAAACAGGCAUGGGAUUUGUUAUAUUGGGGGUAUAUAUUCUCCUUUGUUUUGUCACACACAACCUUGAAAUUCAAUUAUACAGCCUAUUCCUAUUGAGCAUUGAUUUAAACUAGAAAUGGAAUGAUCAUUUCAGCAUAGAUAUUUUAAACUGACUGAAUAGUAAGAAUUUAAUUGAGUAAAGAUAUUUUUGGAGUAUUUUUUUUAAAGAUUUAUUUGUUUGUUUGAAAGGUAGAGUUAUACAGAGAAAGAGAGAGACAGAGACAGAAAGAGAGAUCUUUCAUUUGCUAGUUCACUCUUUAAAUGGCCCCAAUGGCCAGGGCUGGGUGAGGCCAAAGCCCGGAGCCAGGAGCUUCAUCCAGGUUUCCCAAGUGAGUGCAACAGCCCAUGUGCUUGGGCCAUCUUCUAUUGCUUUCCCAGGCACAUUUUCAGGGAUCUGGAUCAGAAGUGGAACAGCCAGAUAUUGAACCAACCAGAGCCCAUAUGCUAUGCCAAUGUUGCAAGUGGAGGCUUAACCCACUAUACCACAAUGCCAGCCCCAGACAAGUAAUUGAAAAGCAAGAGAGAAACUACUAAAGUGCUUACUCACUGUCUAAAAGAACCUUUUUAGCCUUUUAGUCUAACCUGGUGUGACUUGUCAUUAUUCCUUUUCUCAGUCUUGUCCUUAUACUGUGGAUUCUAGUGUUUCAUGUCAGGCCAUCUAGGGAGAUGAAUGCAACCUUACCAGGUGGCAUAUAAAAACUUAGCAGCAUGAUGAAUGUUACAGGUUUUGGUGUUUUGCUGCACAGUUGGGUGACUUUGGUUCAUGAUGUGUAUUAAAGACUAGAAUAGUGGAACUAGUAGGCUCAAAACACAAAGACAAAUAAGGAAUUGGAAAGGAAUGUUGCCUGAUAUGCUUGUUCCAGGGGUGGAUAGGGUCUGUCCUAUGGGCUACAUAAGGCCCAGGAAAUAACUUAUCUGGCCCUGCAAAGCAACUGCAAGUGAGACUUGAAAUUCAAUGAAUCCGUAACAGGCUAUUUUUUUUUUUUUGACAGAGAGUUAGAGUUAGAGAGAGAGAGAGACAGGUCUUCCUUCCAUUGGUUCAGCCCCCAAAUGGCCGCCACGGCUGGCAUGCUGCACUGAUCUGAAGCCAGGAGCCAGGUGCUUCCUCCUGGUUUCCCAUGUGGGUGCAGGGCCCAAGCACUUGGGCCAUCCUCUACUGCUUUCCUGGGCCACAGCAGAGAGCUGGACUAGAAGAGGAGCAACCAGGACAGAACGCGGCACCCCAACUGGGACUAGAUCCCAGGGUGCCGGUGCCGCAGGUGGAGGAUUAGCCUAGUGAGCCGCGGCGCCGGCCUUAUAGCAGGCUAAUUUUAAGCUGAUAAUUUUGUGUGGCCCGUAAAUGAUGUUUGAAUAUCCAAAUGGUCUUGGCAGAUAAGUUUCCCUACUCCUGAAGCUAUGCAUAUGUGUUGGAAAUUUACAAUGUAACUCCCAAAAUAUACAAUUAGUAUAUGCUAAUACAAAAUUUUAAAAAUUAAAAAAAUAUGUUUAAUACUCAAUGUAAUUUUUUAUGAAUCAUUCUUUGAUAUUUUGCAUUUUCUAUGAUCUUUCUGAACAUCCCUUAUAUAUAUAGAUUUCAAUUUCUUUUGCACCAAAAUAAACUUAUCUUUUAAUCUCA